rnacentral:lncRNA from 1 species
GAAAUGUGAAAACCACAGUUUUUUCUAUUAGCCAUAUAGGGAGCUAAAUAGUAGAAAAAAUGAAAUUUGGAGAAGGCAAUGGCAACCCACUCCAGUACUCUUGCCUGGAAAAUCCCAUGGGCGGAGGAGCCUGGUAGGCUGCAGUCCAUGUGGUCGCUAGGAGUCGGACACGACUGAGCGACUUCACUUUCACUUUUCACUUUCAUGCAUUGGAGAAGGAAAUGGCAAUCCACUCCAGUGUUCUUGCCUGGAGAAUCCCAGGGACGGGGGAGCCUGGUGGUCUGCUGUCUCUGAGGUCGCACAGAGUUGGACCCGAAUGAAGCGACUUAGCAGCAGCAGCACAGAAACUCAGAGGCUGUGACACAGCAGUCAAAAAUACAUUAGGGGCAGCAUUAAAAAGAACAAGAUGGUGGAGGAGUGGGUGGACAUGGAGUACAUCUCUCUCCACAGAUACAUCAGGAAUACAACUUCAGACACAGAAGUGCAUGCAGAACACCAGCUGAGAGCAUACAGGAGGACCUGAGCAGUGGAAAAGGAUAUAGAGAACCACGGAAAAGAGUCACUGUCCCAUGUUGGAGCCUCUGGUUGAUUGAGACUGGGACAUUUGCGCCUGUUCUGUCAGAUGCCACUCCAAAGAAAAAAGAAAGAUCGUCAGAUGGUACUCCAAUGAUCUCUGGUUUCUCGCUAGAAAAGGGUGUUGAUGAGGAACUGCCUUAUAUGAUAAAUGUCCUCUACACUCAGAAGAUGAGCACCUGAACUAGAAGACUUGGAUGAAACCUGCCAACCUUCCAGCAUAUGCUUAGAACCCUUAGAACUUGGGGUCAAAAUACGAUGAGAGAAACAGAGUAUAUGGUCAUUUGUGCUUGGCAUUCCUAAAGAACUGAAAUCUGAAAUAAGUACCUAAAGUUUGCAAUGAUUACAGCAGGUCUGAACGGGUAAGUAUUAUAAACUGGAGAAGUGAUCCAUGGCAUGGACAUUUCAAGGUCAUGAAACUCUUAACCAAUGAGGAAAUGUAGUCUACUGAGAGUCAUGUAAAAAAAAUUUACCUAAAGAGACAUGUAAAUGAUUCCUGUAGAAAACAUAGGAAAUAGGGAAAAAAAAAAAAGGCAGAGGAAUAAGCUGGUUAGGAAGUAGAGUCUCCAAUAAAAAUCUCUAAGUUAGGAUGAAAUAUAAGUUCUCUCCUUCUUGAAAUACUCUUGCCUUUGCCGACUUGGGCUCUAUAACAAAAUGCCAUAGAUUAAUUGACUUAAAGAACAGAAAUGUAUUUUCCUACAGUUCUGGAAGCUGAAAGUCCAAGAUUAAGUUGCUGAUAGUUUUCAUUCCUGAUGAGAACACUCUUUCUGGCUUUUAGAGGUUAACCAUCUCACUGUCAUCAUCAUCAGAUGGUCAGUACCAAAAUCAGAGUGAUUAUAUUCUUUGCAGCCAAAGAUGAAGAAGCUCUAUACAAUCGUCAAAAAUAACACCUGGAGCUGACUAUGGCUCAGAUCAUGAUGACCUUACUGCAAAAUUCAGGCUGAAAUUGAAGAAAGUAUGGAAAACCAUUAGGUCACUAAGGUAUGACCUAAAUCAUAUCUGUUAUGAUUACACAGUAAAGAUGAUGAAUA